rnacentral:rRNA from 1 species
AAUGGGUCAGCGACUUAUAUUCUGUAGCAAGGUUAACCGAAUAGGGGAGCCGAAGGGAAACCGAGUCUUAACUGGGCGUUAAGUUGCAGGGUAUAGACCCGAAACCCGGUGAUCUAGCCAUGGGCAGGUUGAAGGUUGGGUAACACUAACUGGAGGACCGAACCGACUAAUGUUGAAAAAUUAGCGGAUGACUUGUGGCUGGGGGUGAAAGGCCAAUCAAACCGGGAGAUAGCUGGUUCUCCCCGAAAGCUAUUUAGGUAGCGCCUCGUGAAUUCAUCUCCGGGGGUAGAGCACUGUUUCGGCAAGGGGGUCAUCCCGACUUACCAACCCGAUGCAAACUGCGAAUACCGGAGAAUGUUAUCACGGGAGACACACGGCGGGUGCUAACGUCCGUCGUGAAGAGGGAAACAACCCAGACCGCCAGCUAAGGUCCCAAAGUCAUGGUUAAGUGGGAAACGAUGUGGGAAGGCCCAGACAGCCAGGAUGUUGGCUUAGAAGCAGCCAUCAUUUAAAGAAAGCGUAAUAGCUCACUGGUCGAGUCGGCCUGCGCGGAAGAUGUAACGGGGCUAAACCAUGCACCGAAGCUGCGGCAGCGACGCUUAUGCGUUGUUGGGUAGGGGAGCGUUCUGUAAGCCUGUGAAGGUGUACUGUGAGGUAUGCUGGAGGUAUCAGAAGUGCGAAUGCUGACAUAAGUAACGAUAAAGCGGGUGAAAAGCCCGCUCGCCGGAAGACCAAGGGUUCCUGUCCAACGUUAAUCGGGGCAGGGUGAGUCGACCCCUAAGGCGAGGCCGAAAGGCGUAGUCGAUGGGAAACAGGUUAAUAUUCCU